rnacentral:lncRNA from 1 species
CUAAUCUUUGAUCGGUCCAAUAUUUGAAGGAAUCUUUGAUCGAUUUUAACAAUCAACGAUCUUUGAUCGGCUUGAUCUUUGAUCGGCCCAACAUUGAAGGAGCCUUUGCUUAGCUUCUAUUCGAUGAGACUGAUCGUCGAUCUCGAUGCAGGAUGGCCAUUGAUUGAUGCACCCUAUGAUCGGCCCUUAACACAGGCUAUAGAUGCCUAACUUAUGGGCCCUACUUGAACUAAUGAUCCUUAGUC